rnacentral:rRNA from 1 species
UACGUAGGGUGCGAGCGUUGCCCGGAUUUAUUGGGCGUAAAGGGCGCGUAGGCGGCCACGCACGUCCGUUGUGAAAUCGCCCGGCUCAACUGGGCGGGGUCAGCGGAUACGGUGUGGCUCGAGCAAGCUAGGGGGCAAUGGAAUUCCCGGUGUAGUGGUGGAAUGCGUAGAUAUCGGGAGGAACACCAGUGGCGAAGGCGGCUACCUGGACAAUUGCUGACG